GUGGGGAAUUUUGGACAAUGGGCGAAAGCCUGAUCCAGCCAUGCGGCGUGCAGGAUGAAGGCCUUCGGGUUGUAAACUGCUUUUGUACGGAACGAAAAGACUCCUUCUAAUAAAGGGGGUCCAUGACGGUACCGUAAGAAUAAGCACCGGCUAACUACGUGCCAGCAGCCGCGGUAAUACGUAGGGUGCGAGCGUUAAUCGGAAUUACUGGGCGUAAAGCGUGCGCAGGCGGCUAUGCAAGACAGAUGUGAAAUCCCCGGGCUCAACCUGGGAACUGCAUUUGUGACUGCAUGGCUAGAGUGCGUCAGAGGGAGGUGGAAUUCCGCGUGUAGCAGUGAAAUGCGUAGAGAUGCGGAGGAACACCGAUGGCGAAGGCAAUCCCCUGGGCCUGUACUGACGCUCAUGCACGAAAGCGUGGGGAGCAAACAGGAUUAGAUACCCUAGUAGUCC
rnacentral:rRNA from 1 species